rnacentral:tRNA from 1 species
GCCUGGGUGGCUCAGUCGGUUGAGCGUCUGACUUCGGCUCAGGUCAUGAUUUCACAGUUUGUGGGUUCGAGCCCCGUGUCGGGCU